AAGGGAGGACGAGGGGGGACAAAAAUCAGGAUAAAGCCAAGACUGUAAAACCAUUCCUGAAACCCUUGAAAGCGGCUGCAGACGGAAAGACCUAGUAGCUAAGCGAAUGCUCUGGGUAGGAGGGUGUGGGCAAGGGAAUAAAACUAGCUGAGAAGCGAGCAAAGCCUGCCUUCCCUAGGGUUCGCUCGGGCUCAGUGUGGGUCACCUCCUUGUCUGCAAGCUGCCUGUGUGCUCUGCCGCAUGGCUUCCGGAGAGAGGCUUCCUGUAGAGGAAAAAACACUGAUUCUGUUCUCCUGUUUUCAGCUUUCGAGAGCCUGUCUUGGAGAAGACAAUAGACGCUGAAGCACCACGCUGCCCGGUCAGCUAUUGGGCAUACAGAUUUGCUCGGAAAAUUCUAACUUAAUUAGCAUUAACAUUCCGGCUAAUGUGGAGAUACAGGUACUAAGUCUUUCCUCUACUGAAUGAAGCAGCAAAUCCACGGGCUUAGGAGCUGUCGGUUACUUCUAAAUUGGUAAAAAGGACCAGAGACAUUUGGCGGGGUGGUGGAGCUCUCCAGAUGAGAAAACCGAAGACCAAGGUCAUUCAGUUAAGUGGCGGGGCCAAGGGUCUUAAAAGCCGAGAUCCCCCAAGUUGACGCCCCGUUGGCGCUCUUUGCACAAACCUCUCAAAGCCAAGGGCCGGACUUUCUGUGUUAGCAUUUUCAACGUAUCUUGGGCUUCAUAUCUCAAUAACGAUCAUCAAGGUUCCUAACCAGGAAGAACAACGGAAGAUCGGGUUCCUCUUCUGUCCAAUAUAUGAGAACGACAGGUUGAGGCCAACCAAAACAGGCCUUGCUUUAUUGGGCUUGAAUUUUGAUAUAUGUCAAAAUAUAUGACAUUAAAAAAUUUUUUUAAUGUUUAUUUUUGAGAGAGAGAGAGAGAGAGAGACAGAGUGUGAGCAGGGG